GAUGAACGCUGGCGGCAUGCCUUACACAUGCAAGUCGAACGGCAGCACGGGAGCAAUCCUGGUGGCGAGUGGCGAACGGGUGAGUAAUAUAUCGGAACGUGCCCAGUCGUGGGGGAUAACGCAGCGAAAGCUGUGCUAAUACCGCAUACGAUCUACGGAUGAAAGCGGGGGAUCGCAAGACCUCGCGCGAUUGGAGCGGCCGAUAUCAGAUUAGCUAGUUGGUGGGGUAAAGGCUCACCAAGGCGACGAUCUGUAGCUGGUCUGAGAGGACGACCAGCCACACUGGAACUGAGACACGGUCCAGACUCCUACGGGAGGCAGCAGUGGGGAAUUUUGGACAAUGGGCGCAAGCCUGAUCCAGCAAUGCCGCGUGCAGGAUGAAGGCCUUCGGGUUGUAAACUGCUUUUGUACGGAGCGAAACGGUCUUUCCUAAUACGAGAGGCUAAUGACGGUACCGUAAGAAUAAGCACCGGCUAACUACGUGCCAGCAGCCGCCGUAA
rnacentral:rRNA from 1 species